GAGAGUAAAAUAGUACGUGAAAUUGUUGAAAGGGAAACGAUUGAAGUCAGUCAUGCUAGUGAAAAUUCAGUUUGACGGGUUUUGGGUUUAGGAGUAAGAGGUAGGGUCAAACCAUCUCUCUUUUAAACUUGGGGUUUGUCGGAUGCACUUUUUCUUUGGCAGGUCAGCGUCGAUUUUGGGAGUUGUAAAAUACUUGGGGGAAAGUAGCUCUGUUUCGGGAGAGUGUUAUAGACCCUGGGAGAUGCAGCUUGCGGGAUCGAGGAUUGCAGCAAAUGCCUUUGGCUUGUCGCCUGAUCUCUAGUUGUUACCUCGUUUAUGACAACAUUCUUGUCAUCGAUGAGUGCUAAUGGCUAUUAGGUUAGAACGAUCAAAAAUUUGCUAAGGAUGCUGGCGUAAUGGCUUUAAACGA
rnacentral:rRNA from 1 species